rnacentral:rRNA from 1 species
CCUACGGGAGGCAGCAGUCGAGAAUCAUUCACAAUGGGGGAAACCCUGAUGGUGCGACGCCGCGUGGGGGAAUGAAGGUCUUCGGAUUGUAAACCCCUGUCAUGUGGGAGCAAAUUAAAAAGAUCGUACCACAAGAGGCAGAGACGGCUAACUCUGUGCCAGCAGCCGCGUUAAUACAGAGGUCUCAAGCGUUGUUCGGAUUCACUGGGCGUAACGCGUGCGUAGGCUGUUUCGUAAGUCGUGUGUGAAAGGCGCGGGCUCAACCCGCGGACGGCACAUGAUACUGCGAGACUAGAGUAAUGGAGGGGGAACCGGAAUUCUCGGUGUAGCAGUGAAAUGCGUAGAUAUCGAGAGGAACACUCGUGGCGAAGGCGGGUGCCUGGACAGUAACUGACGCUGAGGCACGAAGGCCAGGGGAGCGAAAGGGAUUAGAUACCCUGGUAGUC